UACGUAGGGGGCAAGCGUUGUCCGGAAUUAUUGGGCGUAAAGAGCUUGUAGGCGGUUUGUCGCGUCUGCUGUGAAAAUCCGGGGCUCAACCCCGGACUUGCAGUGGGUACGGGCAGACUAGAGUGUGGUAGGGGAGACUGGAAUUCCUGGUGUAGCGGUGGAAUGCGCAGAUAUCGAGAGGAACACCUGCGGCGAAGGCGGGUAGCUGGGCCGACACUGACGUGAUGCGCGAAAGCCAGGGGAGCGAACGGG
rnacentral:rRNA from 1 species